rnacentral:lncRNA from 1 species
AAGUUUUGUUUUUCACAUUUCCAUUUAAUACAGGAAUACAGUUCAAGAGAAAUGGUAUAAACGUUCACACUGACCAUGUUAUUAUUUUCUUACCACUGAUCGUUAUGCCUCGUUUGAAGAGAUGAUCAAAAUAAACAUGGUAUUCUAAAAACAAGAGUUCAAUAGCUAAUUAUCCGAAAACUAUGCACAAGUGCAUCUUGAUCUUCAUAAAUAUAUCACACGGUAUUACAGCAUGAGCGAUUUUUCUAGGAAAAGUUGGCUCGAUAAAAGAAAAUCAUGGACAGCUAACAAGCCGAACCCAACACUCAAUGAAUUUCUUAAAUAAGCAUGUGUUUUGGCUCGAAGACUGCGCGUGCUUACGCAUCUUAACUAACCCAAGCAAACCUCCCUGAUGGACACUAUUUCUCUUCUAGCAUUAAAUAAGGAUGUAUCUACAAUCAAUAAAACAUCAAUCUCGUCACAUUGCCAGAAU